AGAAUUCCAAAACGCAACUCAUCCCUUCAUUUCUCAAAAUCUCCAUCUCUCUAAAAACACAAGCUUCUAUUUUUCUCCUCUUUCUCUCUAGAAUUUUUCUUUCCUACUUCAUCUUUGUUCCAAACGAACACCGUCUAAACAAUCUGUGAGACAAGAUCAUCGUUUUCCACCGAUCAAUUUAGCGUUCUUCCUCUGGUGGUCAAGCACUUCCGAAAGUGAAAAGGGGCGUGCUUGAGGGUUUUCUUGAGCUAAAAAAAGGGGUUUUGUUUACUGCACUACUUGACUAGAGAAGCUGAUGAUGUACCCUUGGAACAAGCGUUGGAGAAUGAAGAAGAUACACCUAGCUCUUAGGAUUGUUCUUAGGCAUUUCCUUUAUUUUGAGAGACUUCUAUGUAUAUAAAGUUUUAAUUUUAUAGCCUCU